rnacentral:rRNA from 1 species
GGCGGCGUGCUUAACACAUGCAAGUCGAACGGAAAGGCCCUGCUUUUGUGGGGUGCUCGAGUGGCGAACGGGUGAGUAACACGUGAGUAACCUGCCCUUGACUUUGGGAUAACUUCAGGAAACUGGGGCUAAUACCGGAUAGGAGCUCCUGCUGCAUGGUGGGGGUUGGAAAGUUUCGGCGGUUGGGGAUGGACUCGCGGCUUAUCAGCUUGUUGGUGGGGUAGUGGCUUACCAAGGCUUUGACGGGUAGCCGGCCUGAGAGGGUGACCGGCCACAUUGGGACUGAGAUACGGCCCAGACUCCUACGGGAGGCAGCAGUGGGGAAUAUUGCACAAUGGGCGGAAGCCUGAUGCAGCAACGCCGCGUGCGGGAUGACGGCCUUCGGGUUGUAAACCGCUUUCGCCUGUGACGAAGCGUGAGUGACGGUAAUGGGUAAAGAAGCACCGGCUAACUACGUGCCAGCAGCCGCGGUGAUACGUAGGGUGCGAGCGUUGUCCGGAUUUAUUGGGCGUAAAGGGCUCGUAGGUGGUUGAUCGCGUCGGAAGUGUAAUCUUGGGGCUUAACCCUGAGCGUGCUUUCGAUACGGGUUGACUUGAGGAAGGUAGGGGAGAAUGGAAUUCCUGGUGGAGCGGUGGAAUGCGCAGAUAUCAGGAGGAACACCAGUGGCGAAGGCGGUUCUCUGGGCCUUUCCUGACGCUGAGGAGCGAAAGCGUGGGGAGCGAACAGGCUUAGAUACCCUGGUAGUCCACGCUGUAAACGGUGGGUACUAGGUGUGGGGUCCAUUCCACGGGUUCCGUGCCGUAGCUAACGCUUUAAGUACCCCGCCUGGGGAGUACGGCCGCAAGGCUAAAACUCAAAGGAAUUGACGGGGCCCCGCACAAGCGGCGGAGCAUGCGGAUUAAUUCGAUGCAACGCGUAGAACCUUACCUGGGUUUGACAUGGAUCGGGAGUGCUCAGAGAUGGGUGUGCCUCUUUUGGGGUCGGUUCACAGGUGGUGCAUGCCUGUCGUCAGCUCGUGUCGUGAGAUGUUGGGUUAAGUCCCGCAACGAGCGCAACCCUUGUUCACUGUUGCCAGCACGUUAUGGUGGGGACUCAGUGGAGACCGCCGGGGUCAACUCGGAGGAAGGUGGGGAUGACGUCAAGUCCUCAUGCCCCUUAUGUCCAGGGCUUCACGCAUGCUACAAUGGCUGGUACAGAGAGUGGCGAGCCUGUGAGGGUGAGCGAAUCUCGGAAAGCCGGUCUCAGUUCGGAUUGGGGUCUGCAACUCGACCUCAUGAAGUCGGAGUCGCUAGUAAUCGCAGAUCAGCAACGCUGCGGUGAAUACGUUCCCGGGGCUUGUACACACCGCCCGUCAAGUCAUGAAAGUUGGUAACACCCGAAGCCGGUGGCCUAACCAUUGUGGGGGAGCCGUCGAAGGUGGGACUGGUGAUUAGGACUAA